rnacentral:rRNA from 1 species
UCACGUGGGGGCGUGCUAUACAUGCAAGUAGAACGCUGAAGAGAGGAGCUUGCUCUUCUUGGAUGAGUUGCGAACGGGUGAGUAACGCGUAGGUAACCUGCCUUGUAGCGGGGGAUAACUAUUGGAAACGAUAGCUAAUACCGCAUAACAAUGGAUGACACAUGUCAUUUAUUUGAAAGGGGCAAUUGCUCCACUACAAGAUGGACCUGCGUUGUAUUAGCUAGUAGGUGAGGUAACGGCUCACCUAGGCGACGAUACAUAGCCGACCUGAGAGGGUGAUCGGCCACACUGGGACUGAGACACGGCCCAGACUCCUACGGGAGGCAGCAGUAGGGAAUCUUCGGCAAUGGGGGCAACCCUGACCGAGCAACGCCGCGUGAGUGAAGAAGGUUUUCGGAUCGUAAAGCUCUGUUGUAAGUCAAGAACGAGUGUGAGAGUGGAAAGUUCACACUGUGACGGUAGCUUACCAGAAAGGGACGGCUAACUACGUGCCAGCAGCCGCGGUAAUACGUAGGUCCCGAGCGUUGUCCGGAUUUAUUGGGCGUAAAGCGAGCGCAGGCGGUUUGAUAAGUCUGAAGUUAAAGGCUGUGGCUCAACCAUAGUUCGCUUUGGAAACUGUCAAACUUGAGUGCAGAAGGGGAGAGUGGAAUUCCAUGUGUAGCGGUGAAAUGCGUAGAUAUAUGGAGGAACACCGGUGGCGAAAGCGGCUCUCUGGUCUGUAACUGACGCUGAGGCUCGAAAGCGUGGGGAGCGAACAGGAUUAGAUACCCUGGUAGUCCACGCCGUAAACGAUGAGUGCUAGGUGUUGGAUCCUUUCCGGGAUUCAGUGCCGCAGCUAACGCAUUAAGCACUCCGCCUGGGGAGUACGACCGCAAGGUUGAAACUCAAAGGAAUUGACGGGGGCCCGCACAAGCGGUGGAGCAUGUGGUUUAAUUCGAAGCAACGCGAAGAACCUUACCAGGUCUUGACAUCCCGAUGCUAUUUCUAGAGAUAGAAAGUUACUUCGGUACAUCGGUGACAGGUGGUGCAUGGUUGUCGUCAGCUCGUGUCGUGAGAUGUUGGGUUAAGUCCCGCAACGAGCGCAACCCCUAUUGUUAGUUGCCAUCAUUCAGUUGGGCACUCUAGCGAGACUGCCGGUAAUAAACCGGAGGAAGGUGGGGAUGACGUCAAAUCAUCAUGCCCCUUAUGACCUGGGCUACACACGUGCUACAAUGGUUGGUACAACGAGUUGCGAGUCGGUGACGGCAAGCUAAUCUCUUAAAGCCAAUCUCAGUUCGGAUUGUAGGCUGCAACUCGCCUACAUGAAGUCGGAAUCGCUAGUAAUCGCGGAUCAGCACGCCGCGGUGAAUACGUUCCCGGGCCUUGUACACACCGCCCGUCACACCACGAGAGUUUGUAACACCCGAAGUCGGUGAGGUAACCUUUUGGAGCCAGCCGCCUAAGUUGGAAAAAA